CUUACGUAUUUUGCUAUUGAUAACAUUAUGUGUAUAAACAAUUCUGUAUUUAUCGUUGGUAAACACAGUUGUAGAAAUUUCAUACGUCGCAUAUGCAAAUCUCCGAAUUUUCAACUUUUUAACUUUUGUUAGUUCCAGAAUUGUAAGCGUUAAUUUUUAAAUGAAUGCUUUCGGGUUUCCGCUCUAAUUUGACCUGAAAUCUCAGGUACCUGACAUAUCGGACUACCCACACAUCUCUAAUAAAUGGUAACGCGUCUACUUGAAUGAUGGGGGCGCUGCAUGUAUAGAAUUCUAUUUCAUUUACGCGCUAUUACGCAAAUGAUACGUUUCCCGCGAUCUCUUUAAUUAAACGUCAUUCGAAGACCCAAAUAUAAAGUGAUAUGCUCACGGAAAUAACGUUCUCACAUUUAACACUGCAAAUUCCAAAACAGAACACGGAAGUCAUUCACAAGAUAUUAAAAUGUACAAAAAUAUGAAAAAACUUUCAAUGAGUUGUCAGACUGAGUGCAUAAGAACACUUGUGUUUUAAAUAUAGCAUAGUGUGCAUUAUUAUUAACAGCCAUCAAACGUACAAGAGUGAUAAUUAGACAAGAUAAACCAAGAUCAUUUUAACUGUCUAUUUAGGAAGUAGUACAGAAAUAAUUUGCAAAGCUUAAUUAGAUGCCCAAGUGAUUCACAAAACGCUAUAGAUAUAAAUGUCAAGCGAACGAAUAUAAAUAGAUAGAACGUGAAAACACGUAUACUGUUUGAUUAUUAUAUUUUGCAAAAAUGUAACGAAUUGUCUACAUUGCUGAAGGUGUUGCAGCUAAUAUCGUUCGGUGAUACGUGCCAAUAUCACUAAAAAUACAAGGACCACAGUAUGCACAGAGCCCACUGUGACCGCUCACGUACGAAAUUAAAUCGUGAUUAAAGUGACCGAGGAACGGAAGUUUAAAUAAGGGAGGAAGAGAUAAAAACCCUUGAAAAGAAACACAAACUCGUGGUUAAUCUAACAUCGUGUUACUGAAGAAACAAAAUACUAAAACAUUCCGCGUGCGAGCAGCUCGCAUUACAUGAUAGCGGCAAAAGACACUAGCAUACUGAAUAAGAACGCCACGAUACAGCAUCAACGAACGUUGACGAGCGAUGCCGAAUCGACCCGACGAUCACCGACUGUCUUCGACUAUUUGUGUAAAUUAAAAAAAUUCUAACAACUUCAGUUUUGUGCUUUACGGAGAUUCCAAAUGGACCGAAUUUUGUCGAUAAGAUCGAGAUGAUCUUUUUAGAGGAAUACAAUUUACACAUGGCUGUUUAUCUAGAAAAUGAUAAUAUUAAAAAAUUAUACAAUUGCUUACGUAUUAUACUUAGUUAUACAAGGCUGGAUAUAUGUAAAUAAUUCAUACAACAACCGUAUGCAAACCACAUUUUCAUUUGCUAUACUAUUAAAGAAUAACGUAUCGAUUGAAAUAGAGGAAUAUUACAAAGCACGUAUGCAUGGAAAUAACGGAUUAAGGAAGCAUUUAUGUAGAUUCUCAAGAUUAGACACACUUUGUAUCUGAUGAUUAUACCGGAUUACUGUUCGUGACGUUACGAAUGAAUCGAUGUAAUAAAAACGUCAAAAUCGUUAGUAGCACAUUCAGUUGCAGCACGAAAGAAUCACGAACAGGCUAUUGUAACAAUGCCUCGAACAACUUCCUGUUUAAUUUUUUUUACGUUUGUUCUGAGAAUAACGUGGCUGCGAAAUAUCGACAAGUGUGCAACUGCACGUGUGCGCAGUAUAAUGGGUCAAAAUAUAAACUGAUGUUCGUUUUAUGCCGAAAUAAAUUUACCGGCUUUCUAAUGACAGGUUGUGAAUAUUUUAAAGCAUGGAAGGUUCUCUUUUGUUGUUAUGCACACUGGUUCGUUGGAGGAGACGGGAAAAUUACAAAAGGUACAUUACGAAACGUAAGGUUGUCACAGGAAUUAUUGCCAGGGUGAAUGGGGACGCAAAGUGGUUGGCCACUCCUUUGAAGUUUGAUAAACAAACAGAUUUUAUGCAGAGAUGUUUAUGAACUUAUGGAGAUUUUAUGCAGGUACAUCGCUAUCUUAUAUUUGAUAAAGAAAAAUGUUUUCCAGGUUAUGUAAAAAAGGAAGAAUAACUGAAAUAUGAAAAAGGAAUUCGUGCAUGGUAUUCUAUGGAUCCAAACGUUAAUCAUGCAAUCUGAUCAACUGUCUUCUCUGCGCAGUUCUAAGAAAACAUGCAACUAAUAGGCCUCCUACGAAACACGCAAUUAUUACCAACGUUAAACAAGUGGAUACGAACUAUAGAUAUGAUACUUCUCCUUGUACAUGUACAGCAAACAAUUAACCAUCACGUGGACUAUUAUCGCCUCAACAGUUCUAAUUUGUUAUAGUUGUUGAUACAUAAAAUUUCUGUUAUACAAGUGCAUGGAAACGUCCAAGAAUCGAGUGACAAACAUUAUGGGAAAGUUCAAUGCUUUCAAUGAUUCACUUUAGGAUCUAAAGUUUCUAGAGAUAAUUAGUUGAAAACGUUGAUUGAACAAAUAGAAGCUAGAAGCGUGAAGAUUAAUCGCCGUAAAUUGUAUCGAGCCGUUAAGCCUAUUACCUCCGGGCAUUGUUGUCCUAGAAUCUCUAUUAGGUUUACUAUUUGUUCGCUACUUGCCAUUUCGUUUAACACUUUGACUGUUGGCGAUUUUAAUAAAGUAUUUAUUUAUGCUUACGUUAUUCAAAAGUUACAACUUCAAGCCUUAGGCAUACAGUAGAUUCUCGUUAUAUUAACACCAAAGAAAACUGUAUUUAGCAAAACUUCUUAUAAUUAUAAUAAAACGAAAAUCGACUGUAUCGUACGGUCAUGUAUAUAACAAAUUAAUAAUGGCUAAUAUUGCAAACACAAUCAACGUGUUAACAGUUGUGAAUUUUUAUGUCACCGUUAGCAUGCUUGUUUCGCAUCAUCGAGAUUGAUAGAAUUGAGAAUAUCGGAUGUUCUUAUUAUCAGAAUCUGCGCACUCGUAACCAGCUAUUCAGUGUAUCCUGUUAUUAUUCCAGAAUUAUUCUUGAUGAAACGUGCAUAUGCUUUUCUGCACAAUUACUGUGUUUCACAACUGCUUUACAAAAUGUUGCACGACAACAGGAAUUUAACGAAGAAGAGAGGAUGUGCAAGAACUUAUAAAAAGAAAUAUAAAAGGUGAUCUAUACGACACACACGCGAUUCUGUUUUAUAACACGAGAAGAGGGAAAAACUUCUCAUCAAUUGCGUUUCAAAGAGUACGAACGUUCGACGAUCAAAGAAUUUAUUUUACACAGAGGUUUUAUUAUAGUACGAAGAUUUCACAUCCGAUAACAUCUGAGAUCAAAAAGAAGCAGGAAACUCGAGUCAAUCGAACAAGCUCCAUUCAUGUUUUCUUACUACGCUCGGCGGCGGCCUUCCAUGUUUCCGGGGGGCAUAUCGACGGGUCACAUCAAGACGAAUUCACCAUCCCGAAAAGGAAAAGAGGAAAAUUUCGUUCCGCUUAAUUAUACAAAAACUUGGUGGUACGUCAACUUUCUUCCGUCGUUGAUAAAUCGGCGAUACAGUUUUCCUCGCAAAAAUUCACGGCUAACGAAACCGAAGCGUGUGGUCAAAAAUUCUUGCUUCUUGGCACCGACAAUGACAACAACACGAGAAAACUGGACGCGCGUGCGGCGCCGCGAGCCUAUCAACGUUCCUUCUCACAAAUGAUAUUUAUUGUCCUCGAUUUAGAUACGAUUCCCCUCUGUUCAUCAGCAGACGCGGGCACACCCUUCCGCAGAGAUAAACGCAGAAAUUUAUGAAGACGGUAGUAUAACAAGAGCUCAAUAUUACGCUUUAUUGUGCUUGACUGGCUACGGCGCAACGUGGAGUGGUGUCCCGUUCGAGAGGGGUCAGGAGAAAGGAGCUUAGGAACCAACCAUGCUUUCUUAUACCUUCCACAUUUCCUCCAGAUCAGUGUUUCAAAAUGGUGAUUUUCCCGAACCCCACACUUUCCUCAUUGGGAAGUUUUAUAUUGACGAGUGGCGUCAUGUAUUCGUGACCGUAAUGCUCAAUUCUGUAUUUCAUUGUUCUUUAUUUUAUUGAUAUUUAUUUUAGUAGUAUUACAGAUAAGCUCUUAAAUAUAAUCUUCUUUCAGAUGUUAAAAAAAAUUUACAGUUACAAGAUUCGGAUUCGGAAUGUAAAACCAUCAAAGUGUUAACAUGUUGACUGCCACGGUUAUAGGUAACAGAUGUUACAAGGUUAUUUUUUAAGUACAGUAGACUCUCGUUAUAUUGUCACUUUGAUAAGAACUUUCGUACACAGCGCGUUCUCCUACCAUGCACUUUGAGAUCCACGGACAGCGUCAUGGCAUCAAAAGUCAUUGGCAUUCAUUCCUGAUCGAUAAAUGUGAUAUAAAAUUAUCGGUAAUUAACAGUAGUAUAUCGGUAAUAUACCAGUGAUCGAUACUGAAUGUACUGCAAAAUCAAUAACGCAUCGAUAAUGUACCGAUAAUCGAUAGCAGUUAAUAAGACAGCAAGUUAUCCAUUAUAUUGCCAUACGUUAUAUUACACCUUUAAUCUCACAUACUGUCAUUGCCAAGAUUGUUACAGCACCACCUGUGACAAUAUAACGUGUACUGUAAAUACAUAUCUUUAAAUAAGUACAAUAAACAGGUAACUUGUAGU